rnacentral:rRNA from 1 species
GGGGGGGGGGGGGGGGGGGGGGGGCGCGGGGGGGUCGGGGGGCGGCGCGGGGGGGGGCAGCUGGGGGCGAGGGGCGGACGGGGGAGGAGUACAUGGGAACAUGGCCUGUGGGGGGGGAGAGCCCGGCGAAAGCCGGGUUAAUACCGCAGACGAUCUACGGAGGAAAGCGGGGGACCGGCGGGCCGCGCGCUAGAGGUGUGGCCGGUGGCGGAGUAGCUAGUGUGGGGGGGAGAGGCCUACCAAGGCGACGAGCGGUAGCUGGUCUGAGAGGACGACCAGACACACUGGGACUGAGACACGGCCCAGACUCCUACGGGAGGCAGCAGUGGGGAAUUUUGGACAAUGGGCGAAAGCCUGAUCCAGCAAUGCCGCGUGUGUGAAGAAGGCCUUCGGGUUGUAAAGCACUUUUGUCCGGAAAGAAAUCCUUGGCCCUAAUACGGUCGGGGGAUGACGGUACCGGAAGAAUAAGCACCGGCUAACUACGUG